ACGCGAAGAACCUUACCCGGGCUUAAAUUGCAGACGAAUUAUCUGGAAACAGGUAAGCCGCAAGGCGUCUGUGAAGGUGCUGCAUGGUUGUCGUCAGCUCGUGCCGUGAGGUGUCGGCUUAAGUGCCAUAACGAGCGCAACCCUUGCUGUCAGUUACUAACAGGGUUAAGCUGAGGGACUCUGACGGGACUGCCAUCGUAAGAUGUGAGGAAGGUGGGGAUGACGUCAAAUCAGCACGGCCCUUACGUCC
rnacentral:rRNA from 1 species